CCUACGGGUGGCAGCAGUAGGGAAUUUUGCGCAAUGGGCGAAAGCCUGACGCAGCAACGCCGCGUGAUCGAGACGCCCUUCGGGGUGUAAAGAUCUGUCAGUGGGGACGAAACUUGACGGUACCCACAGAGGAAGCACCGGCUAACUCCGUGCCAGCAGCCGCGGUAAUACGGGGGGUGCAAGCGUUGUCCGGAAUCAUUGGGGGUAAAGAGUUCGCAGGCGGCACGUAAAGUCUGGUGUUAAAGGCAGAGGCUCAACCUCUGUACGGCACUGGAUACUUGCGAGCUAGAAUGAGGUAGAGGUAAAGGGAAUGCCGGGUGUAGCUGUGAAAUGCUGAGAUAUCAGGAGGAACAUCCGUGGCGUAAGCGCUUUACUGGGACGUAGUUGGCGCUGAGGAACGAAAGCCAGGGUAGCAAAUGGGAUUAGAUACCCUUGUAGUC
rnacentral:rRNA from 1 species